rnacentral:rRNA from 1 species
UCUCCUGGAAAACGGGUGGUAAUGCCGGAUGCUCCGACUCCUCGCAUGGGGUGUCGGGAAAGAUUUCAUCGGUAUGGGAUGGGGUCGCGUCCUAUCAGGUAGUCGGCGGGGUAACGGCCCACCGAGCCUACGACGGGUAGCCGGCCUGAGAGGGCGACCGGCCACAUUGGGACUGAGAUACGGCCCAGACUCCUACGGGAGGCAGCAGUGGGGAAUAUUGCACAAUGGGCGCAAGCCUGAUGCAGCGACGCCGCGUGCGGGAUGACGGCCUUCGGGUUGUAAACCGCUUUUGAUCGGGAGCAAGCCUUCGGGUGAGUGUACCUUUCGAAUAAGCACCGGCUAACUACGUGCCAGCAGCCGCGGUAAUACGUAGGGUGCAAGCGUUAUCCGGAAUUAUUGGGCGUAAAGGGCUCGUAGGCGGUUCGUCGCGUCCGGUGUGAAAGUCCAUCGCUUAACGGUGGAUCUGCGCCGGGUACGGGCGGGCUGGAGUGCGGUAGGGGAGACUGGAAUUCCCGGUGUAACGGUGGAAUGUGUAGAU